AGGUCCAAGGGACUCGUGGAGCUGGUGGAGGCCGGAGGCGGCCUCGUGGCGCCCGGCGGGAGCCUCUGCCUCUCCUGCAAGGCCUCCGGCUUCACCUUCAGCAGCGUCGGCAUGAACUGGUUCCGACAGCCGCCCGGGAAACAGCCCGAAUACGUCGCGGGUAUCAACAGCGGUGGUGGCACCGGCUACGCGGACGCCGUGCAGGGCCGAUUCACCAUCUCGAGGGACAACGGGCAGAGCAGCCUCUACCUGCAGAUGAGCAGCCUCAAGGUGGAGGACACGGCCACCUACUACUGCGCCAAGGCUUAUGGUGGUUCUGCUGGUGCUUGGGUUGACGCUCACCGUGUGAAGGGUCCUGCUGCUGAUCAAACUGACAUUUCGGCUCUCGUUAUGCAAACGGGCGCCCGAAAGCGGCAGCUGGCUCAAACGGGCGAGAAACGGCGUUUCGGCCCCAAAACGGCGGCGGCUCCGCCUCCAAACUAG